rnacentral:rRNA from 1 species
CCUACGGGAGGCAGCAGUGGGGAAUAUUGGGCAAUGGAGGAAACUCUGACCCAGCGACGCCGCGUGCGGGAUGAAGGCCUUCGGGUUGUAAACCGCUUUCAGCAGGGAAGAAGCGAAAGUGACGGUACCUGCAGAAGAAGCACCGGCUAACUAUGUGCCAGCAGCCGCGGUAAUACAUAGGGUGCAAGCGUUGUCCGGAAUUAUUGGGCGUAAAGAGCUCGUAGGUGGUUCGUCACGUCGGAUGUGAAAAUCUGGGGCUUAACCCCAGACCUGCAUUCGAUACGGGCGAGCUUGAGUAUGGUAGGGGAGUCUGGAAUUCCUGGUGUAGCGGUGGAAUGCGCAGAUAUCAGGAGGAACACCAAUGGCGAAGGCAGGACUCUGGGCCAUUACUGACACUGAGGAGCGAAAGCGUGGGGAGCGAGCAGGAUUAGAUACCCUGGUAGUCCACGCCGUAAACGGUGGGCACUAGUUGUGGGGACCUUCCACGGUCUCUGCGACGCAGCUAACGCAUUAAGUGCCCCGCCUGGGGAGUACGAUCGCAAGAUUAAAACUCAAAAUGAAUUGACGG